rnacentral:rRNA from 1 species
GUCUAUGGCCAUGCCACCCUGAAUGUGCCCGAUCUCAUCUGAUCUCAGAAGCUAAGCAGGGUCGGGCCUGGUUAAUAUUUGAAUGGGAGACCACCUAGGACUACCAGGUGCUAUAGGCA